UUCUGUCCCUGCUGACGAUUUUGUCCAUACCAAGGUAACUGAAGCUGACGAUUCUGCCCUUGCUGAGGCAUCUGCUGAUAACCCCUGUUCUGAUUUUGACCACGCCACUGCCCCUGCUGAACACCACGAUUUCUGUUCCACUGACCACCUUGAUUUCUCCCAUGCUGACCCGAAGCUUGACCCUGCUGGUCAUCUCUGUCCCUCUUUCGACUCCCUUCCGGUUUGGAAGUUCGAAAGUCCUGCCGCUCCAUCUCAAUGUUCUUGGCCGCAUUAGCCACCGCCGAUACAUCCGUAAACUUGGUGUUAAUGAGAUGUUGGCGAUACCUAUAAUGAAUCCGCCACUUAAACUU
rnacentral:lncRNA from 1 species